GUUGCUUUGGCUGAGUCGUUAAGGCGUGUGGCUACUAUGUACAUGGGGUUUCCCCGUGAGAGUUCGAAUCUCUUAGGCAACG
rfam:Ipomoea nil DNA, scaffold: scaffold1525, cultivar: Tokyo-kokei standard.